UACGUAGGGGGCAAGCGUUGUCCGGGAUCAUUGGGCGUAAAGCGCGCGUAGGCGGCCUCAUAAGUCCGUUGUGAAAGUCAAAGGCUCAACCUUUGAAAGCCGAUGGAUACUGUGAGGCUAGAGUCCGGAAGAGGCGAGUGGAAUUCCUGGUGUAGCGGUGGAAUGCGCAGAUAUCAGGAGGAACACCAAUAGCGAAGGCAGCUCGCUGGGACGGUACUGACGCUGAGACGCGAAAGCGUGGGGAGCGAACAGG
rnacentral:rRNA from 1 species